rnacentral:tRNA from 2 species
GGAGAGGUGGCAGAGAGGUCGAAUGCGCCGCACUCGAAAUGCGGUGUACUGGCAACAGUACCGUGGGUUCGAAUCCCACCCUCUCCGCCA